rnacentral:lncRNA from 10 species
AGGAUCUAUUUCAUUGCAGUUGAGACACUUAAGAACAUUUUCUUAUAAAUAACAAUUUACCCCUGCACUUAGAGGAUGAUCAAAAAGGAAAUGGAGAAUAUUCACUUAUAUUUAGGAAGGCAGCAAAGAAGAUGGUGUCCAGGCCUGGAAGAAGCUAGCAGAAGAUGUCAUGCAUCAAAAUGAGAAAUAAUCUUUAAAAAGAGGAUGACAUGGGAUCAAAAAUCAGGAGUUCCAACACAAGAGAAGAAAAUAAUCAAGAUGCUGCUUAAAGGAAGAUCAAGGAUGACAACCAGCUUAGAGAACAACCAUUCAGAUCAGCGGACAGAGGACUAUAGGAAAUUUGUCCCCAAGAAAAAAUAAUAGGCUACUGAGAUAUUUGAAUAAUGUACAUUUCUUCUGGAAAUUUCAGGGGUGAUAGUAUAUACAAAUCUAAGAAAACAAAUAAAUAAGCGAGCAGAGAAAAUCAUGCAGUGUCAAGCUGCACAAACUUCAAACUCAGCAUACGUUAAAAGCAUGUGUUAGAGUUGGUUGUGUAUAAUAUAUCUAAUGGCAAAUUGGUUUAAAAUUGAAUAUUGCAAAAUUGGGAAUUAUUCAUAUGAGCUUAAAAGUGUUGUCAAGAUUUUAGGGAAGCAAUCCACUGUCCUCCUUCAUUCAAGGACUUGUUUUGUGCUCUCUCUGCCUGAAAUGCUCUUCCCCAAGAUGUUUGGUUGACUUACUGUCUUAAUCAUUCAGGUCUUUGCUCAAGCAUCACUUCUUUGCUUAAUUUAUUAAAAAUAGCACCGGCUAUCACUUUUAAAAUUUUUUC